rnacentral:lncRNA from 10 species
UGGCUUGUCAUCUGAAUCACCUUGGCAGCUUCCCAGCAUUUCUGAAAAUCAGCGAUGCUUACAAGUGCUGCAUUGGGUCAUCUAGUUCAACUUCCUCCUUUAAGAGAAUGACUCAGAAAACUUAGUCUCAUUCAUAUGACAGAUCUUCUUAAUCCAUGUUGAAUGAUUUUCCAUCCCCACCUCAACCCCUAAGAUUUUAUGUUUCUACUUUCACAUCGAUUUUACUAACAUUCUUUCUUCCCUAUAAGGGAAUCCACAGUGAAGAUGCAUUAUUUCAGAGGAGACUGGAUCAAUAUUCCUUCUUCAACCUGUCACACAGAGAAGAGAGGCGCCUCUGUUUUCCCAUCAGGGAUGAGUACAGGAAACGGCAGCAUAUUUUCCACUUGUCCAGAAUUGAAUGAACACUGCAAAUGCUGUCUGAGCCAUUAACAACU